rnacentral:ncRNA from 1 species
AGCGGGGUUAUAAAGGGCGUAUGGUGGAUGGCUCGAGAUAGUAUGGGCGAUGAAGGACGUGGCGUGACUGCGUUAAGCUUGGGGGAGGUGUCUAGCAACCUUUGAUCCCAAGGUCUCCGAAUGGGGAAACCUGAUUUGCUGAAAAGCAAAUCAGCCCGGUCGAAUGACUGGGCAGCGAACCCGCUGAAGUAAAACAUUUCAGUAAGCGGAGGAAAAGAGAACAAUAGUUUAUUCCCUUAGUAGCGGCGAGCGAAAAGGGACCAGCCUCGCCUAGAUGCGAGUCUAGGCGGGAGAGCCCAGAUCCCGAUUUCUUAUUUAAUUUAUUAAAUAUGUCGUCGGGAAGUUGUAAGUUUAGUCCGUUUGAGGGUUAAACCUCGAGGAGAGUUCAACAAUUAAGGUUUGUCUAGUAGAGCGGUCCUGGAAAGGCCGGCCAAAGAGGGUAAUAGCCCCGUAAACGAAAGUCACCUUUGACUCUCUGGACUUUACUUGAGUACCUCGAUAAAUGUAUGCGUCGGGGGAAACUGCCGGCACGAGCCGGUAAGGCUAAAUACCAUCUAUCAUCGAUAGUGAACUAGUACCGUGAGGGAAAGUUGAAAAGCAGCCCGGUGAGGGCGAUGAAAUAGUACCUGAAACCAUAUGCCUACAAAGAAUGGGAGCUCCGAUGCGCAAGCAUCAGGGGUGACCGUGUGCCUAUUGAAGAAUGAGCCAACGAGUUAUCCUGCACCUUUUGUCUAAGGGCAUCUAGCCUGGAGGCAAAGGGAAACCAAGUCUUAAUAGGGCGACUUUGAUAUUUAUUUAUCAAAAAAAGGUGUUGGAUAGACCCG